rnacentral:rRNA from 1 species
UACGAAGGGGGCUAGCGUUGUUCGGAAUCACUGGGCGUAAAGCGCACGUAGGCGGAUCUUUAAGUCAGGGGUGAAAUCCCGGAGCUCAACUCCGGAACUGCCUUUGAUACUGGGGAUCUCGAGUCCGGGAGAGGUGAGUGGAACUGCGAGUGUAGAGGUGAAAUUCGUAGAUAUUCGCAAGAACACCAGUGGCGAAGGCGGCUCACUGGCCCGGAACUGACGCUGAGGUACGAAAGCGUGGGGAGCAAACAGG